rnacentral:rRNA from 1 species
GCAGCCUGCAACUCGGCUGCAUGAAGCUGGAAUCGCUAGUAAUCGCGGAUCAGAAUGCCGCGGUGAAUACGUUCCCGGGUCUUGUACACACCGCCCGUCACACCAUGGGAGCCGGGAAUGCCCGAAGUCAGUGGCCCAACCGCAGGGAGGGAGCUGCCGAAGGCAGGCCCGGUGACUGGGGUGAAGUCGUAACAAGGUAAC